rnacentral:rRNA from 1 species
AUUGAACGCUGGCGGCAGGCCUAACACAUGCAAGUCGAACGAGUGGCGGACGGGUGAGUAAUGUCUGGGAAACUGCCCGACGGAGGGGGAUAACUACUGGAAACGGUAGCUAAUACCGCAUACCAUCGGAUGUGCCCAGAUGGGAUUAGCUAGUAGGUGGGGUAACGGCUCACCUAGGCGACGAUCACUAGCUGGUCUGAGUGGAUGACCAGCCACACAGGAAGUGAGACACGGUCCAGACUCCUACGGGAGGCAGUAGUGGGGAAUAUUGCACAAGGGGCGCAAGCCUAGUGCAGCCAGGCCGCGUGUAUGAAGAAGGCCUUCGGGUUGUAAAGUACUUUCAGCGAGGAGGCGUUACUCUCAGAAGAAGCACCGGCUAACUCCGUGCCAGCAGCCGCGGUAAUUC